rnacentral:lncRNA from 1 species
CUAGAGCAGCUGCAGCAUCUCCUCUGGACCCAAAGGAAACUGUCAUCCAGCCAACGGUGGGACCUCACUCUACCUAAGCCAGGGUAAUGGACUCAUGGCAGCCUCCAAAGAUGGCGCCCUUCCCCUGUUAUAAGGAGAAAGAACCACAGGCUCUCGGCUUCAGAAAGGGCGUCACAGGCCUCC